rnacentral:rRNA from 1 species
CAAGUACCGUGAGGGAAAGUUGCAAAGAACUUUGAAGAGAGAGUUCAAGAGAACGUGGAAUCCUAGUGGUUGAAGCGGAGAGAGUUGACGUAGCUCGGCGGCUAAGCUUACUGUUGCUUCUUCGGAGGCUUCGGUUUGUGGUGUCCGUUUAUAGCUGCGCCGGUAGCGUUGUUCGAGCUUUCUGACCUGGUUAGUGUUGCCCACUUCGGUGGUGUCUUGCUGCCGGCGAGGUCUGCCGUAUUAACGUUUAAUUUGUCUCACGACAAGUACCGGUGUGAAGGUCAGCCACCUUUCCGACCCGUCUUGAAACACGGACCGAGGAGUGUAACUUGUACGCGAGUCAGAGGGUGGAAAACCCUACGGCGCAAUGAAAGUAAAGGUCGGUUAACCGGCUGACAUGGGAUCCUUUCUUCGGAGAGGCGCACCAUGGCCCUGUCUUGAGAGCUUGCUCUUGGGCAGAGGUAGAGCGUACAGGUUGCGACCCGAAAGAUGGUGAACUAUACUUGAGCAGGACGAAGCCAGAGGAAACUCUGGUGGAAGUCCGUAUCGGUUCUGACGUGCAAAUCGAUCGAUAGAGUUGAGUAUAGGGGCGAAAGACUAAUCGAACCAUCUAGUAGCUGGUUCCUUCCGA